GACGAACCGUGCGAACGUUAUUCGGAAUCACUGGGCUUAAAGGGCGCGUAGGCGGGCUAGCAAGUCAGGGGUGAAAUCCUUCGGCUCAACCGGAGAACUGCCUUUGAUACUGCUAGUCUCGAGGGAGGUAGGGGUCUGCGGAACUUCCGGUGGAGCGGUGAAAUGCGUUGAUAUCGGAAGGAACGCCGGUGGCGAAAGCGGCGGACUGGACCUCUUCUGACGCUGAGGCGCGAAAGCCAGGGGAGCAAACGGG
rnacentral:rRNA from 1 species